AGUGAACGCUGGCGGUAGGCCUAACACAUGCAAGUCGAACGGCAGCACAGUAAGAGCUUGCUCUUACGGGUGGCGAGUGGCGGACGGGUGAGGAAUACAUCGGAAUCUACUUUUUCGUGGGGGAUAACGUAGGGAAACUUACGCUAAUACCGCAUACGACCUACGGGUGGAAGCAGGGGAUCUUCGGACCUUGCGCGAGUGAAUGAGCCGAUGUCGGAUUAGCUAGUUGGCGGGGUAAAGGCCCACCAAGGCGACGAUCCGUAGCUGGUCUGAGAGGAUGAUCAGCCACACUGGAACUGAGACACGGUCCAGACUCCUACGGGAGGCAGCAGUGGGGAAUAUUGGACAAUGGGCGCAAGCCUGAUCCAGCCAUACCGCGUGGGUGAAGAAGGCCUUCGGGUUGUAAAGCCCUUUUGUUGGGAAAGAAAAGCAGCAGGUUAAUACCCCGCUGUUCUGACGGUACCCAAAGAAUAAGCACCGGCUAACUUCGUG
rnacentral:rRNA from 1 species